rnacentral:misc_RNA from 1 species
AAGUCGUAACAAGGUUUCCGUAGGUGAACCUGCGGAAGGAUCAUUAUUGAAUUCACUAACGAGGCUGUUGCUGGCUCCUCUGGGGGCAUGUGCACGCCUUGUAAGUCACUUCUACCACCUGUGAACCUUUUGUAGUCUUGGGGAAUGCUAAAGCUCAAAGGAAACUUUGGAUUUGAAUGCUGCGGGCUUGAAAAAGUCGGCUUCGUUCUACAGCUGACCCCGAUUCUAUGCUUUAUAUACCCCAAUUGUAUGUCUAUGAAUGUGAUGCAAGGGCUUCAAUGCCUUUAAAUCUAUUACAACUUUCAGCAACGGAUCUCUUGGCUCUC